UGCGUAGGUGGUGAGGUAAGUCGGAUGUGAAAUCUCCGGGCUCAACCCGGAAAUGGCAUUGGAAACUACCUUGCUGGAGGAUUUGAGGGGGGAUUGGAAUACUUGGUGUAGCAGUGAAAUGCGUAGAUAUCAAGUGGAACACCAGUGGCGAAGGCGAAUCCCUGGAAAAUAACCUGACACUGAGGCACGAAAGCUAGGGGAGCAAACA
rnacentral:rRNA from 1 species